AUUUGCCUUGCUGCAGCAAUAGCAGUGUGUGUGGUGGUGAUUUUUGCUCAAGCAAUCUUAAGCUGCAAAAAACAAAACUUUAAACAACACGAGUUGAGACCUCCACAAAACCUGAAGGAGAGAACCCAUAGCCAGGUCCGUGAUGCUGUCGAGCUGAACUAUGCUGCACUACAUUUCAGUGAGAGGAAAAAUAAAAGUGAAACAACAAAAAGAGGACAAUGUCAAGAUACAGUUUAUUCUGACGUGACGUACACUCACGUUACUUAAAUUACUGUUAGCAAUCUCCUAAUAAGUGCCUGUUAAAGUUCCCUACUCAAAGUUGCUCCUUGUGUAUACUGUAUAACAAUUGUCUGUUGACUUAUUGUUUUUUGUUUAAGCCA